UACGGGGGGGGCAAGCGUUGUUCGGAAUUACUGGGCGUAAAGGGCUCGUAGGUGGCCAACUAAGUCGGACGUGAAAUCCCUCAGCUUAACUGGGGAACUGCGUCCGAUACUGGAUGGCUCGAGUUUGGGAGAGGGAUGCGGAAUUCCAGGUGUAGCGGUGGAAUGCGCAGAUAUCUGGAGGAACACCGGUGGCGAAGGCGGCAUCCUGGACCAAUUCUGACACUGAGGAGCGAAAGCCAGGGGAGCAAACGGG
rnacentral:rRNA from 1 species